rnacentral:rRNA from 1 species
UACGUAGGGGGCGAGCGUUGUCCGGAAUCAUUGGGCGUAAAGCGCGUGUAGGCGGCUCAGUCAGUCUGGUGUGAAAACUUGGGGCUCAACCCCAAGCCUGCACUGGAUACUGCUGAGCUUGAGUCCGGGAGGGGAGAGCGGAAUUCCUAGUGUAGCGGUGAAAUGCGCAGAUAUUAGGAAGAACACCGGUGGCGAAGGCGGCUCUCUGGAACGGUACUGACGCUGAGACGCGAAAGCGUGGGGAGCGAACAGGAUUAGAAACCCCCGUAGUCC